rnacentral:rRNA from 1 species
AGGCAGCCUGCUAAGGUGCAAUUGACAUUGAGGCUUGAAAGUGUGGGUAUCAAACAGGAUUAGAUACCAUGGUAGUCCACACGGUAAACGAUGAAUACUCGCUGUCUGCGAUAUACAGCAAGCGGCCAAGCGAAAGCGUUAAGUAUUCCACGUGGGGAGUACGCCGGCAACGGUGAAACUCAAAGGAAUUGACGGGGGCCCGCACAAGCGGAGGAACAUGUGGUUUAAUUCGAUGAUACGCGAGGAACCUUACCCGGGCUUAAAUUGCAGAUGAAUUACGGUGAAAGCCGUAAGCCGCAAGGCAUCUGUGAAGGUGCUGCAUGGUUGUCGUCAGCUCGUGCCGUGAGGUGUCGGCUUAAGUGCCAUAACGAGCGCAACCCUUGUUGUCAGUUACUAACAGGUUCCGUUGAGGACUGUGACAAGACUGCCAUCGUAAGAUGUGAGGAAGGUGGGGAUGACGUCAAAUCAGCACGGCCCUUACGUCCGGGGCUACACACGUGUUACAAUGGGGGGGUACAGAGGGCCGCUACCACGCGAGUGGAUGCCAAUCCCAAAAACCUCUCUCAGUUCGGACUGGAGUCUGCAACCCGACUCCACGAAGCUGGAUUCGCUAGUAAUCGCGCAUCAGCCACGGCGUGGUGAAUACGUUCCCGGGCCUUGUACACACCGCCCGUCAAGCCAUGGGAGCCGGGGGUACCUGAAGUGCGUAACCGCGAGGAGCGCCCUAGGGUA